CCUACGGGAGGCAGCAGUGGGGAAUAUUGCACAAUGGGGGAAACCCUGAUGCAGCGACGCCGCGUGAGUGAAGAAGUCAUUCUUUAUGUAAAGCUCUAUCAGCAGGGAAGAAAAUCACGGUACCUGAGUACGACUCCCCGGCCAACUCCGUGCCAGCAGCCGCGGUAAUACGGAGGGGGCAAGCGUUAUCCGGAUUUACUGGGUGUAAAGGGGGCGUAGGCGGAAGGGCAAGUCUGGAGUGAAAGGCGGGGGCUCAACCCCCGGACUGCUCUGGAAACUGUACGGCUGGAGUGCAGGCGAGGUAAGUGGAAUGCCUGGUGUAGCGGUGAAAUGCGUAGAUAUUA
rnacentral:rRNA from 1 species